AGAGACCAGUGACUAUAAAAAAAGUUACUUGAUUAGAAAGAGAGUUGUGUUUUCAGGAAUGAACAAGAUGUAUCUGGCAGAGCAGAAAAAAAAUCCACAGGAAAGCAUUUGAGACACCUUAGACAUAUUUGACCUAUGCCUAAGGAAUAUUCUGGAACUUUAAGGAAACUGUGUUUCUUGUACUGGCUAAGACACUCAAUAAGCAAGUUAGAAAGCCUUGACAAGCCCUUACAUUAUAUGCUUCAGUAAGACUAAGUUUCUGAAAAAGAAAAAUAAAAAGAAAAAUGAAAGAAGAAAAUAAAAACAAAGGAGAAAAGAGAACAAUUUAAAGGUAUUUCCUCUGUUCUAGGUGAAAUAAAAGGACCCCUCAAAAUGACAGCCUGAAAAUGAAAGUGGUGACUAGAAUUUCCUGGCUGGAUCUGGAUCAUGGAGUGUUCACCAACCUUCUCAGGUCUUCCAUGUGAGAUAUGAGACAACCAAAACACCUUGCCCACGAGAAACCUUACCCUCUGCUUUCUACUUGCUCAGGCAUCUUCAGGAGAGCUCUGUAUGCCUUGGCAAAAACACUGUCUGAGAGGCAUCAAGAAGAGGCAUCAGACAGCUGCUGGAUCCCCUAGGCGCUGCCUGGGCCCACCUGCAGAAGAGUCAGAGGGGAUUUACUGGCAACAAGACCGUAACCAGACUCAGGUUGGCAGAGGUGCCUUUGACUGGGAGGGACUUGAUUUGUGGUACCUGUUUUUCUGGUGAACAGAAAUUCCCUGCGACUGUCAGGCAGUUGGACAGUUAAGGAACAUGCAGUAAAAUCAGCAGGAGGUAAGCCUAAACCACACGAAAUACAGUCCUUCCUUACCAGUACACCCAACAAUUAGUAAUUUCUAUAAUAUGCUGCCACAGGGGUCUGGGAUAGAUGGCAUCAGUAUGGUGGGAAAUGUUUUAGAUGGAUAGAUUGACUGCAGUUUUAUGACAGAAUAUAGACAGGAUGGCUCAAAGAUAUCUUUACCAACAUAUCUCCUAUCAGAGUCACAGAAGAAGAGAAGGAGGGCUAAGGCUUAUACAUGUACCUCAUAAAAUUCUCCUGUCACUGUGGCAGGACAGAGACUUCAGGGCAGGAUCUGCCAACCUGACCCCACCUAGUUCCACACCUUAUGCAUCCUCAUGUCUCUGUGCACCUGGGUCUCAGAUGGGCUGCUGGAAGUAUUUUUUCUUUGGUUUUAAGACAAUAGCUUCUAUGUACCUCACAUGCAUACUUUUAAUCCUCUUAAGGCACAAUAACAUAUUAGGCAUUGAUUUACAAGCAGAGAAUUGAGCAGAUGAGAGUGAAUCUCUCACCCGAGGACAAGCAAGCACUCUACAGUUUUGUUUAGAAUUGAACAUUGGUGUCAUUACUUAAGUCCCCCAUUUUUCAGACAAUUUCAACUGAAAGGAUAUUCUCAAACUAGGCUGGAUGCAGUGUGUAAGGUA
rnacentral:lncRNA from 1 species